rnacentral:rRNA from 2 species
UGGGCGUAAGAGCUCGUAGGCGGUUUGUCGCGUCUGCUGUGAAAUCCCGAGGCUCAACCUCGGGCUUGCAGUGGGUACGGGCAGACUAGAGUGCGGUAGGGGAGAUUGGAAUUCCUGGUGUAGCGGUGGAAUGCGCAGAUAUCAGGAGGAACACCGAUGGCGAAGGCAGAUCUCUGGGCCGUAACUGACGCUGAGGAGCGAAAGCAUGGGGAGCGAACAGGAUUAGAUACCCUGGUAGUCCAUGCCGUAAACGUUGGGCGCUAGAUGUAGGGACCUUUCCACGGUUUCUGUGUCGUAGCUAACGCAUUAAGCGCCCCGCCUGGGGAGUACGGCCGCAAGGCUAAAACUCAAAGGAAUUGACGGGGGCCCGCACAAGCGGCGGAGCAUGCGGAUUAAUUCGAUGCAACGCGAAGAACCUUACCAAGGCUUGACAUACACCGGAAACGGCCAGAGAUGGUCGCCCCCUUGUGGUCGGUGUACAGGUGGUGCAUGGUUGUCGUCAGCUCGUGUCGUGAGAUGUUGGGUUAAGUCCCGCAACGAGCGCAACCCUCGUUCUAUGUUGCCAGCGGGUUAUGCCGGGGACUCAUAGGAGACUGCCGGGGUCAACUCGGAGGAAGGUGGGGAUGACGUCAAAUCAUCAUGCCCCUUAUGUCUUGGGCUUCACGCAUGCUACAAUGGCCGGUACAAAGGGCUGCGAUACCGUAAGGUGGAGCGAAUCCCAAAAAGCCGGUCUCAGUUCGGAUUGAGGUCUGCAACUCGACCUCAUGAAGUCGGAGUCGCUAGUAAUCGCAGAUCAGCAACGCUGCGGUGAAUACGUUCCCGGGCCUUGUACACACCGCCCGUCAAGUCAUGAAAGUCGGUAACACCCGAAGCCGGUGGACUAACCCUUGUGGAAGGAGCCGUCGAAGGUGGGA